GACGUAGGGCGCGAGCGUUGUCCGGAUUUAUUGGGCGUAAAGAGCUCGUAGGCGGCUUGUCGCGUCGACUGUGAAAUCCCGCGGCUCAACUGCGGGUCUGCAGUCGAUACGGGCAGGCUAGAGUUCGGUAGGGGAGACUGGAAUUCCUGGUGUAGCGGUGAAAUGCGCAGAUAUCAGGAGGAACACCGGUGGCGAAGGCGGGUCUCUGGGCAGUAACUGACGCUGAGGAGCGAAAGCAUGGGGAGCGAACAGG
rnacentral:rRNA from 1 species